GCACCAGGCCAUUCUCCUGGCCGUUGGAGUACAUAAAAGUUCAGAUGUGAGAACCCCCAACAUCCAAGUGAUGCCCGUUUUCCUCUACAUCUCAAUCAGAGAAGUUCUAUUUGUACACAUGUGAAGUCCAUCUUUCCCUGAAGCUGCUAAAUCCAAUCCCCGGUGUAAGGGAAGUGCAUCUCUGUGUUUGUUGCCUACUCUAUUACAGUUUAGCAAAUUUAAUUGGCUACUAAAAGAGAGUAAAAUCAGUGAAGAUCUACUGCUAUGUAUUUUUUUGCUUUGAUU